AUUGAACGCUGGCGGCAUGGCUAAAACAUGCAAGUCGAACGGGCCCGCAAGGGCUAGUGGCGAAAGGGUUAGUAAUACGAUCGAACGUACCCUAAGGUGGAGGAUAGGCAUGGGGAAACUGUGCGUAAGACUCCAUGUGGUCUCCGGACCAAAAAUUUAUUGCCUUUGGAGCGGCGAUCGUCCUAUCAGCUAGUUGGCGGGGUAAUGGCCCACCAAGGCGAAGACGGGUAGCAGGUGUGAGAGCACGACCUGCAACAUCGGGACUGAGACACUGCCCGGACUCCUACGGGAGGCUGCAGUAACGAAUCUUCCGCAAUGGGCGAAAGCCUGACGGAGCAAUGCCGCGUGCGGGAUGAAGCGCCUAUGGCGUGUAAACCGCUGUCAGGGGACGGAACCAAUGAUUGUCCCCAGAGGAAGUGGCGACUAACUCUGUGCCAGCAGUCGCGGUAAUACAGAGGCCACGAGCGUUAAUCGGAAUCACUGGGCUUAAAGGGUGCGCAGGCGGCUCG
rnacentral:rRNA from 1 species